AGCGAACGCUGGCGGCAGGCUUAACACAUGCAAGUCGAGGGGAGCGGCAGCCGGGUGAGUAACGCGUGGGAACGUACCUUUUGGUUCGGAACAACACAGGGCCACUUGUGCUAAUACCGGAUACCGAAAGAUCGGCCCGCGUCUGAUUAGCUAGUUGGUAGGGUAAUGGCCUACCAAGGCGACGAUCAGUAGCUUGUCUGAGAGGAUGAUCAGCCACAUUGGGGCUGAGACCCGGCCCAAACUCCUACGGGAGGCAGCAGAGGGGAAUAGUGGACAGCGGGGGGAACCCUGAUCCAGCCAUGCCGCGUGAGUGAUGAAGGCACUAGGGUUGUAGAGCUCUUUUGUGCGGGAAGCGGUACCGAAAGAAUAAGCCCCGGCUAACUUCGUGCCAGCCGCCGCGGUAAUAC
rnacentral:rRNA from 1 species